GCCCGCCCCGCACGCCGGGGGCCAGCUCGCCCGUGGCGUAGCCGUGCCAGGCCACGAGGCAGGGUGAUCGAUACAGAGACUGACACUCUGCAGCCACGGGUGCUUUGCUUGGAAUUGAGAUUUAUAGAAGUUGAUUCAUCUCCAGGACAAAUCAAGAUCAAGGUACAAUUGACUGUUUUUGGCAAUUAAGCAGUUUGAGAACUCUGAUACAAGACUGAGCCA